GGAUGAGUUUAAUAAGUGUGCUAAAGGAAAAGCACAACUCUUGAUGUACUUACGAGACAUUUUCUUAGACCAACUACAAUGAGGGUGUUGAAAGCCAUAUUCAAUAAGCAAACCAUUGGAGAGGGGGGUGUUGAAAGUGAGCUGGAGGAAAGAGAUGAUGAAUAUAUUCAAUAGGUUGAAUUCUGACGCCGGAAGCCACAUGGCGCGCUCGGAUUGGCUCAUUUUUUGCGCGGCGCGUGUAUGCCGACAAGGUGCGUCGGUUGCAGUUGGACGCGGAGAGAGAAUCUGUUUUGGAUAGAUGCUGCCACACGUCGCUUUCUGGCCGUAAAUGUAAACAAAAUUCUGAUUGUUCAAAGGAGAUAUGUGUGUUUCCUUGGAAACCUACGUGUGUAGAGCCAUAUUUUUUGAUGAUCCUUAUAAAAAGAUAUAAUUAUUGUACAUGUACGUGAGCGAUGUGCCCCCCAAGAUUACGCUACAAAAUACAAUAAUUUGAAUUUUAUCUUUUUAUAUUUUCAAGGACCGUGUAUUAUGGCUUUGUACUCUAAGAUGAGAGGAAUGAAACGAAAUAAGGAAUAAAAUAAUAUUAUUUAGAUU